rnacentral:tRNA from 1 species
AGUCCCGUGGUGGAGACCACGUCAGAUUGCAAAUCUGAAGAUGCAGACGAAGAGUUUGCCGGGGCUU